GACGAACGCUGGCGGCGUGCUUAACACAUGCAAGUCGAACGGAAAGGCCCUGCUUUUGUGGGGUGCUCGAGUGGCGAACGGGUGAGUAACACGCGAGUAACCUGCCCUUGACUUUCGGAUAACAUCAGGAAACUGGGGCUAAUAUCGGAUAGGAGCUCCUGAAGCAUGGUGGGGGAUGGAAAGAUUCGGCGGUUGGGGAUGGACUCGCGGCUUAUCCGCUUGUUGGUGGAGUAGUGGCGUACCAAGGCUAUGACGGGUAGCCGGCCUGGGAGGGUGACCGGCGACAUUGGGACUGAGAUACGGCGCAGACGCCUACGGGAGGCAGCAGGGGGAAAUAUUGCACAGUGGGCGGAAGCCUGAGGCAGCAACGCCGCGUGCGUGAUGACGGCCUUCGGGUUGUAAACCGCUUUCUCCUGUGACGAAGCGUGAGUGACGGUAAUGGGUAAAGAAGCACCGGCUAACUACGUG
rnacentral:rRNA from 1 species